AACGAACGCUGGCGGCAUGCCUAACACAUGCAAGUCGAACGAACCCUUCGGGGUUAGUGGCGCACGGGUGCGUAACGCGUGGGAAUCUGCCCUUGGCUUCGGAAUAACAGUUAGAAAUGACUGCUAAUACCGGAUGAUGUCGCAAGACCAAAGAUUUAUCGGCCAGGGAUGAGCCCGCGUAGGAUUAGGUAGUUGGUGGGGUAAAGGCCUACCAAGCCGACGAUCCUUAGCUGGUCUGAGAGGAUGAUCAGCCACACUGGGACUGAGACACGGCCCAGACUCCUACGGGAGGCAGCAGUGGGGAAUAUUGGACAAUGGACGCAAGUCUGAUCCAGCAAUGCCGCGUGAGUGAUGAAGGCCUUAGGGUUGUAAAGCUCUUUUACCCGGGAUGAUAAUGACAGUACCGGGAGAAUAAGCUCCGGCUAACUCCGUGCCAGCAGCCGCAGUAA
rnacentral:rRNA from 1 species